ACCCAAAAUGAAAAAGUGAAGUAAUAUUUUACCGAAAACCGAUAACGUCCACUUGACAACUACGAUGGUAAAAUUGUCCAUCAAAAUAUAUUUUCUAUGUGUCAAACUCAUUGUCAAAACGCUAACAGUAUAACGAAAUCAUAAUUUGUUUUGUUUGUCCAAAAAAAUAAUAAUAUACUAUGGUACUGUGAUGGCGAUGGCAUACUGUUAGUAAAGGAGAAUACCAUCGUAUACAUCUUCGGAGGACGCAAUUUCCGGUAUAUCUAUCCGUGAAUGACAAAAAAA